rnacentral:misc_RNA from 1 species
AAAGUCGUAACAAGGUUUCCGUAGGUGAACCUGCGGAAGGAUCAUUAGUGAAUUAGGGUGUCUAUUAUAUAGAGCCUGACCCCACUUUUUUAACACUGUGCACUUUAUAUUGGUAGGAAGAUGAUCAUGAAUUGGUGUUAUGCCUUUUCUAGUCGACCUGCUUUUUUAAACUUUUAAACAUUAGUUAUUGUAUGUUAUAUGAUAUAUAUAAAAUAAGAAAAACUUUCAACAACGGAUCUCUUGGCUCUC